AUUGAACGCUUGCGGCAGGCUUAACACAUGCAAGUCGAACGAUGAUUAUCUAGCUUGCUAGAUAUGAUUAGUGGCGGACGGGUGAGUAACAUUUAGGAAUCUGCCUAGUAGUGGGGGAUAGCUCGGGGAAACUCGAAUUAAUACCGCAUACGACCUACGGGUGAAAGGGGGCGCAAGCUCUUGCUAUUAGAUGAGCCUAAAUCAGAUUAGCUAGUUGGUGGGGUAAAGGCCCACCAAGGCGACGAUCUGUAACUGGUCUGAGAGGAUGAUCAGUCACACCGGAACUGAGACACGGUCCGGACUCCUACGGGAGGCAGCAGCGGGGAAUAUUGGACAAUGGGGGCAACCCUGAUCCAGCCAUGCCGCGUGUGUGAAGAAGGCCUUUUGGUUGUAAAGCACUUUAAGCAGGGAGGAGAGGCUAAUGGUUAAUACCCAUUAGAUUAGACGUUACCUGCAGAAUAAGCACCGGCUAACUCUGUGCCAGCAGCCGCGGUAAUACAGAGGGUGCGAGCGUUAAUCGGAAUUACUGGGCGUAAAGCGAGUGUAGGUGGCUCAUUAAGUCACAUGUGAAAUCCCCGGGCUUAACCUGGGAACUGCAUGUGAUACUGGUGGUGCUAGAAUAUGUGAGAGGGAAGUAGAAUUCCAGGUGUAGCGGUGAAAUGCGUAGAGAUCUGGAGGAAUACCGAUGGCGAAGGCAGCUUCCUGGCAUAAUAUUGACACUGAGAUUCGAAAGCGUGGGUAGCAAACAGGAUUAGAUACCCUGGUAGUCCACGCCGUAAACGAUGUCUACUAGCCGUUGGGGUCCUUGAGACUUUAGUGGCGCAGUUAACGCGAUAAGUAGACCGCCUGGGGAGUACGGCCGCAAGGCUAAAACUCAAAUGAAUUGACGGGGGCCCGCACAAGCGGUGGAGCAUGUGGUUUAAUUCGAUGCAACGCGAAGAACCUUACCUGGUCUUGACAUAGUGAGAAUCCUGCAGAGAUGCGGGAGUGCCUUCGGGAAUUCACAUACAGGUGCUGCAUGGCUGUCGUCAGCUCGUGUCGUGAGAUGUUGGGUUAAGUCCCGCAACGAGCGCAACCCUUUUCCCUAUUUGCCAGCGGGUUAAGCCGGGAACUUUAAGGAUACUGCCAGUGACAAACUGGAGGAAGGCGGGGACGACGUCAAGUCAUCAUGGCCCUUACGACCAGGGCUACACACGUGCUACAAUGGUAGGUACAGAGGGUUGCUACACAGCGAUGUGAUGCUAAUCUCAAAAAGCCUAUCGUAGUCCGGAUUGGAGUCUGCAACUCGACUCCAUGAAGUCGGAAUCGCUAGUAAUCGCAGAUCAGAAUGCUGCGGUGAAUACGUUCCCGGGCCU
rnacentral:rRNA from 1 species